rnacentral:rRNA from 1 species
UACGAAGGGGGCUAGCGUUGCUCGGAAUUACUGGGCGUAAAGGGCGCGUAGGCGGCACUGUUAGUCAGGCGUGAAAGUCCUGGGCUCAACCUGGGAACUGCGCUUGAUACGGCAGAGCUAGAGGAUGGAAGAGGCUCGCGGAAUUCCCAGUGUAGAGGUGAAAUUCGUAGAUAUUGGGAAGAACACCGGUGGCGAAGGCGGCGAGCUGGUCCAUUACUGACGCUGAGGCACGAAAGCGUGGGGAGCAAACAGG